AACCGCCGUGUACCGAACGGUACGCACGGUGGUGUGAGAGGUCGGUAGCUGAAUUAAUCAGCUACCCCCUACUCGAU
rnacentral:misc_RNA from 1 species